GUGUGUUUAUCUUGGUUUUACUGAGCUAUUCCUGUUAUAUGUUUAGCUGCAUUUGAUUGGUAUAUUUGAAUUAAGCCCAGCUGCAUGAAUUGUAUGAUUAUGUCUGUAUUAUGCUCAGUUCUGUAUUGCAUUGGUAUCUCCUUAUUGUACUGCAUUCUUUGUAUUGUAUGGGUAGCUCUGCGUUGAAAAGGGACUACAAUUAGGGGUUUAGUACAUGUGGUUAAGCAGAUAGAUGCCACAGGUCAGAAGGUGAUGGCUGCAGAGUUAAAUUCUAUGAGAGGAGUUUACCACCCCACCAUAUUAAAACUUCACCAACUAACACUGUUUUCAAGUCAUUUUAAUGUAUGUAAAUGUUAGGACUAUUUGCAAUUAAUUUUAUAUGGGUAUCUCUUCCUGCUUGCAAAUAGCCAGGUAUUAACAAAUAAGUUUACUUUAAACACCCCCCCACAAAGUUACAGAGCUACUUUAAAACACCUAUCCUGUUCCCCAAAAUCGCAUGUUGAUACGUUGAUGCUCAUUUGGUCUGACUUUGUAGGGUGGUCUGACUUUGCUGGUUGGGAAGUUGGCUCCCUUCAUCAUUGUUUUGGGGGUUGAACACUGUCUGACUGUUUGAGUUCUUUGAUUGGCCUACAUUAUUUUCAGCAUGAUCCUUGCUGUUGAACGAAAUGGAUUAUCAAAUGCAGUUCUAUUUCAAUAUGGAGUUAAGCGUAGUGACAGCAGUACAUGGCACUCAGGGGAGCAAUUGAGCGCAUAAAAUAAAUAAAUAAAUAUAUCUUGAUCCUGAGGAAAGUCCACAAGCUGGACUGAAACGUUGAUCUAUAUUUUUUAAAAUGAACAAAUAAAGCAUUGAAGAUUUUAUCUCCUAACCGUGAGUGCAGCUAAACUUGUUGCUUUUUCUGGAUAUUUGAACCCUGGCUGGCACCUGGAAAAGAACUUUUGAAAUACUAUAUAUAUAGCUUGAGUGCAGGG